rnacentral:misc_RNA from 1 species
AAGUCGUAACAAGGUUUCCGUAGGUGAACCUGCGGAAGGAUCAUUAUAGUAUCUAGCCGAAGCCGUAAAAUAUGUGGCCCAAAAAGCCCCAAGCGGCCGGCAGUUUACGAUCAUCCACCAUGUGCAUUCAUCGAACCAUGCUUUGGCAGACUUCUCUUGCUCUCUUCUUUUUUUCUCCCAGCCAUCCUUCAGGGAGGUUGUGGAGCGUGGAGGAAGUUGGGCGAGGGUUCCUGCCAGGGUCUUCUUUGUUCAACUCAUAGCCUGAUCUCCUGACUGAACUACACAUAAUUUUGUAAUAAAAAUACAACUUUCAACAACGGAUCUCUUGGCUCUC